GUCGAACGAGGUCCAACCAGUCGCAAGACUGGGGAAGACCUAGUGGCGAACGGGUGAGUAACACGUGAGCAACCUGCCCCGAAGACUGGGAUAACACCGGGAAACCGGUGCUAAUACCGGAUAUCCCCAUUGAAUCGCAUGGUUCGAUGAGGAAAUGGAUUCCGCUUCGGGAGGGGCUCGCGGGCUAUCAGCUUGUUGGUGGGGUAAUGGCCCACCAAGGCAUCGACGGCUAGCUGGUCUGAGAGGACGAUCAGCCACACUGGGACUGAGACACGGCCCAGACUCCUACGGGAGGCAGCAGUGGGGAAUCUUGCCCAAUGGGCGAAAGCCUGAGGCAGCAACGCCGCGUGCGGGAUGACGGCCUUCGGGUUGUAAACCGCUUUCAGCAGGGACGAAAUUGACGGUACCUGCAGAAGAAGCUCCGGCCAACUACGUGCCAGCAGCCGCGGUAAUACGUAGGGAGCGAGCGUUGUCCGGAUUUAUUGGGCGUAAAGAGCGCGUAGGCGGCUAGGUAAGUCGGGUGUGAAAACUCCAAGCUCAACUUGGAGCGGCCACUCGAUACUGCCUUAGCUAGAGUCUGGUAGGGGAUCACGGAAUUCCUGGUGUAGCGGUGAAAUGCUUAGAUAUCAGAGGAACACCGGGUGGCGAAGCGGUGAUCUGGGCCAGUACUGACGCUGAGCGCGAAAGCGUGGGGAGCGAACAGAUUAGAUACCCUGGUAGUCCACGCUGUAA
rnacentral:rRNA from 1 species